rnacentral:antisense_RNA from 1 species
CGUUAUGGCGGCUGUGCGUGUGGGCACCUGCGGGUGCGCCGGGUUAAUUCUCCUGAAGUCCCUGGUCUGUCAACCCACGCACAGUUGCCACCCUC